AGAGAGAGAUGUUUAUCUUUUAAUUCCUUUUCAGUUAUUUGAAUAUUAUUUUGAUACAAUCUUAUAUUAAGUUAAAUUAAGAGUUUGAUUAGGAUUUUAUUUUCCAAAUUCUAGUAGGAUAUGUAAGGUGAAGGCCUAUAUAUAUAGGCUACACCUAUAACGACCCCAAAAAUCCAAAAGGAAAUAGAUAGUAACUUAAGUGCGGAAGUGAAAUAAAAGGUUAAGGUUUAUGUUCCUU
rnacentral:lncRNA from 1 species